AACGCUGGCAGCGUGCAUACACAUGCAAGUCGAACGAUGAAGCAUUCUUCGGAAUGUGGAAGAGUGGCGAACGGGUGAGGAACACGUAAGAAUCUGCCCCUCGGUCGGGGACAACUCUUGGAAACGAGAGCUAAUACCCGAUACGCUGUGGAGUGAAAGAAUUUCGCCGAGGGAUGAUCUUGCGUCUGAUUAGCUAGUUGGUGUGGUAAUGGCACACCAAGGCGACGAUCAGUAGCUGGUCUAAGAGGAUGGACAGCCACAUUGGAACUGAGACACGGUCCAAACUCCUACGGGAGGCAGCAGUGGGGAAUUUUCCGCAAUGGACGCAAGUCUGACGGAGCGACGCUGCGUGAAGGAUGACGGCCCGCGGGUUGUAAACUUCUUUUCUCGAAGAAGAAACAAAUGACGGUAUUCGAGGAAUAAGCAUCGGCUAACUCCGUGCCAGCAGCCGCGGUAAGACGGAGGAUGCAAGUGUUAUUCGGAAUGAUUGGGCGUAAAGAGUCUGUAGGCCGUAUAGAAAGUCUUUUG
rnacentral:rRNA from 1 species